UAUAGUUUACUUGAUGGUCACACGUUAUAUGGAUAACUGUGGUAAUUCUAGAGCUAAUACAUGCAUAAAGGCCCGACUUCUGGGAAGGGCUGUAUUUAUUAGAUACAGAACCAAUCGCUUCGGCGUAUUUGGAUGAUUCAUAAUAAAUGAACGGGGCGCAUGACUUGUGUCGGCGCUGUUUCAUUCAAGUUUCUGACCUAUCAGCUUCCGACGGUAGGGUAUUGGCCUACUGUGGCAUUGACGGGUAACGGAGAAUUAGGGUUCGAUUCCGGAGAGGGAGCCUUAAAAACGGCUACCACA
rnacentral:rRNA from 1 species